AUCUCCCCGCGGCCUGACGUGAGGCCGAGCCGGCUCAUACGCGGUGACGUUACGGAGCCUCAUUGGCUAUGGCGUCCAGGUGAAUUGAUGCUGAAUUGGAUGAUGACUGAUCUCACUUGGAAUUUCUGAAACUUGCAUAUUAUAGAAAAUCCAGAUCAGCCCAAUUGGUCCUGAAUGAUUCUGCAGUUUCUGAUGCCAUCAGUGUUGACCAACACACAGCCCAGCACAACAUUAUUUCAAUCUGAAUGGUGCAAAACCAUAUGCCUCUCCUGAUGCCUGAGCAGCACUAGGAUGUACAGUGAAUGGAGACUGAGGCUGUAAUACUCAGUGACAUGGAUUUAUUUUUAAAGUAAACUCAUAAUUGUGAUCCAAAUCAAGUUUAACAAGUCUCAAACUGGAGUAACUGGGACCCUUCAGGUUAUAUGUUUGUAUGUGGAAGAGAAUGGAUAUCCAAUGUCUUACCAAUAAGGAUGGGAGCUGCUUUUUGACCCACUGAUUGUCCUCUGUAAUAAUUGAUAAUGACACCAAGGAUGAAUGAAUUAUUUUAACCCUUAAAAUUUUUUUAGUUGCAUUUGGACACAAUACCUUUAUUUUAUUUAUUAUUAU